rnacentral:tRNA from 1 species
GCCGGAAUAGCUCAAUGGUAGAGCAUCGCCUUACCAAGGCGAAGGGCGCGGGUUCGAAUCCAGCUUCGCGCUCCA